AGUAAAAGUCGUAACAAGGUUUCCGUAGGUGAACCUGCGGAAGGAUCAUUAACGAGUUGAACGGGGUUGUAGCUGGCCUUCACGGGCAUGUGCACACCUCACUCAUCCACUCUACACCUGUGCACUUACUGUGGGUUUCGAGAGGCCGCGCUUGCGUGGUUGAUCGGGCUCACGUCUAUUACAAACUCUUCAGUAUCAGAAUGUGUAUCGCGAUGUAACGCAUCUAUAUACAACUUUCAGCAACGGAUCUCUUGGCUCUCGCAUCGAUGAAGAACGCAGCGAAAUGCGAUAAGUAAUGUGAAUUGCAGAAUUCAGUGAAUCAUCGAAUCUUUGAACGCACCUUGCGCUCCUUGGUAUUCCGAGGAGCAUGCCUGUUUGAGUGUCGUGUAAUUCUCAACCUAUAAAUCCUUGUGGUUUUUAGGCUUGGACUUGGAGGCUUUUGCUGGCUUUACCGUCGGCUCCUCUUAAACGCAUUAGCUUGAUUCCUUGCGGAUCGGCUCUCAGUGUGAUAAUUAUCUGCGCUGUGACCGUGAAGCGUUUGGCGGGCUUCUAACCGUCUCUUCGAGACAAACACUUUGACAUCUGACCUCAAAUCAGGUAGGACUACCCGCUGAACUUAAGCAUAUCAAUAAGCGGAGGA
rnacentral:rRNA from 1 species